rnacentral:tRNA from 1 species
UCCGGUUGACUCAGCCUGGGAGAGUAUCUGCCUUGCAUGCAGAAAGUCUCGGGUUUAAUUCCCAGCAUCACAA